AUUCAUGAACAGUAUUUUUACAUUAACCUUUUAAUUUUUAUCUUCAUAAUAUAUCAAAAUAUUCUGGAUUUCUUUCCAUGUCAGUAUUUUUAGAGACUAUUUAUUUUUCUGUGUCCUCACCAACAUGAAGGAUCAUCAGAUGUUUUACAUUUGUUGUGAUUCCUUUCAAACCAAAUAAAGUGCCUCCCGAGAGACUCUGGGGAAUUCCUACACCUGCAUGCUCUGCUCAACUGCUACGGUUUCCCAGUGGUUCCCUUUGGCAUCUCACAUUGCUUUGAGCUGAAGACUUCUCUCAUGGCCUCCUCUAGCACCCCCAGGGAUCACUGAGCAAGGCUAUGGUAUAAUAAGCCCGAGUGAAAGUUGUAGGCUCACGUGAGUCUGUUCAGUGUGGAAAAUGGAAGCUGCUGGCUGCAAUGCAUGUGAACAUCACACACUGCCUCUCAAGUUGGCUCUGGUGGCCACUCUUCAUGUUUCCAAGGUCAGCUCACAGCAGAGCCAAGCCUCUCUUCCUUCCUUGCUCUUCUCCUUACUGAAUCUCCACACCAUGGCCCCAGGUCUGCCUUUUAAGCAGACAGGGGACACCCAGGACCUCUCAGCACAACAACUGUAUAUCUCUAUCCACAGAAGGUAACUUUUCACCCAGACAAAUUUUAACUCUCUUCUGUCCAAACCAUUCCC